rnacentral:rRNA from 1 species
AAAGGUAGCAUAAUCGUUUGCCUUAUAAUUGAAGGCUAGAAUGAAUGGUCAAAUGAAACAAAUUCUUUUUUAAAAUAAUUUUUAUCAAAUUUAUCUGCUAGUGAAAAAGCUAGCAUAAAAGUGCUAGACAAGAAGACCCUAGGAGUUACACAUUACAUCGUAUACUCUUUAGUUGGGGCAACAAAGUAUUAACUCAUACUAUUUUUUAAAAAAUAAAAACUUUUAUAUUAAUUUAAUAAUUACCCUAGGGAUAACAGAAUAAUUUUAAUUUAGAGACCAAAUCAAAAUUAAAGCUUAUUACCUCGAUGUUGGAUUAAGGUGCAGAUGGAAGCAACCAUUCAUCAUUGCUUGUCUGUUCGACAAUAAAACCCUUACAU